GCCCAGUUAGCUUGGUUGGUAGGGUGUCUGCCUUGUAAGCGCUAGGCCGCGGGUUCGAAUCCCACCUGGGGCG
rnacentral:tRNA from 1 species